UUAUCACUAAAAAUUUGUUAACACUUUAUACAUAUUUGAAAAGUUCAAUUAGUUGGUUGAAAGACUAAAAAGUCGAAGUUGGAAGAGACAAAAUUUGGUUCAAAUACCAUAAAAAUAAAGAAAAGCUUAUACCCUUUCAUUUCUUUGUAUUUUCUCUUUCAUAUACGAUUUCUUAAUUCGUCUCAACAUAACUUUCUAGAACCGAUCUAAGUAAUGUGCGCAUUACAAAGUUCAUGAUGCAGAACGCGUUUGAUUCAUCCUAUUGGUUUGGCUUGGCUU
rnacentral:lncRNA from 1 species